GUAAAGGCCGCGCCCACAACGGGAAGUAUCUGGAAGCAAGUCGCCAAAAAGGAACUUCUGCAUACAUCGCGGCCGAUUACCAUUUAUUCUGAAUUGAAUUUUAUCAACAAGUGAUGUACAUUGAUUCAGACUAAAAGUAGGAAAAUAUUUUCCAAGAUAUGCAGACCUUACAGCGUAUCCGCCCACCAACAUAUUUAUAAUGACAACGUUGUCAGGAGACGACAUAGCACGGCGCGCAGCAAUGUCAAACUCUCAAGAUGGCUGUAAAGUUCAACACGGUGUGCUGGGGCCUAUCCUAGCUGCUUCGGGUGAGGGGCAGCGUGCUACUGGGUAGUCACCGACCAUGGGUCUUCCUUCCCACGUUUUUCUGUUCCUGUGGCUGUUAGGGAUUUUGCUGUAAUGACAACAAACUAUUAAGGAACAUGAGUUUACGUGGGCCAAAAACGACAAACUGUGAGUCUUCCCUCUUGUGAUAUUUGCGAAUUACCAAUCAAAACGACAAAAAAGUUAUUGGUAUCAUUUGGUGUACAGUAUUGCACUUGGAGUGAUGUGAGAUGAGGUUCAUGACUGGUGAUGCACCCUCUCCUCUGGAGUUGGAUAUAGAAAUAGGAACCAUAAUAGACAACUAGCGGAUUUGUGGGUUUGGGCCUAUAUUGAAACCGAAGUUGCAAAUCAGGUUGAAGAGAAUUUUGGAUUGUUUUCUAAGCUUUUUAUGAUGCUUCAAUCAAUUCCACACCACUCAACAAUGCGACAGCAAGGAAAAGAAUAUUUCAUAUGAGGUCAAGUUCA